GGGGAUUUAGCUUAAUGGUUUAAGCACCUGCCUGGUAAGCAUGAGGUUCAAGAGUUGGAUUCCUG
rnacentral:tRNA from 1 species